AUUGAACGCUGGCGGCAUGCCUUACACAUGCAAGUCGAACGGUAACGGGCCUUCGGGUGCCGACGAGUGGCGAACGGGUGAGUAAUGCAUCGGAACGUACCUUUCAGUGGGGGAUAACGUAGCGAAAGUUACGCUAAUACCGCAUAUUCUGUGAGCAGGAAAGCAGGGGAUCGCAAGACCUUGCGCUGAUUGAGCGGCCGAUGUCAGAUUAGCUAGUUGGUGAGGUAAAGGCUCACCAAGGCGACGAUCUGUAGCGGGGUCUGAGAGGAUGAUCCGCCACACUGGAACUGAGACACGGUCCAGACUCCUACGGGAGGCAGCAGUGGGGAAUUUUGGACAAUGGGGGAAACCCUGAUCCAGCCAUGCCGCGUGAGUGAAGAAGGCCUUCGGGUUGUAAAGCUCUUUCGGCCGGGAAGAAAUCGUAUGGGUUAAUACCCUGUGCGGAUGACGGUACCGGCAUAAGAAGCACCGGCUAACUACGUG
rnacentral:rRNA from 1 species